GGAAGGAUCAUUGAAUCGAUCGAAUCCACACCGGUAAUCUUAGCGUACCCCCCGCGGGCCCUCUCACGAGGGCCCCGGGCGCCUGUCUUCCUCUUCACCGAGGGAGAGGGGCGGGUCGGGUUGGCCCCUCUCUCUUCCCGAGAGCAGAGGCCUCCCCGGCUGGCCAUAUUUCACCCCAACACACCCCAACUUUUAAACCCACACUGAAGCUUUGAGUGUUGGCCGCUGCCCCUUGGGCGGCGCGUCAUCCACAAACCAAAGACAACUCUCAACAACGGAUAUCUUGGCUCCCGUAUCGAUGAAGAACGCAGCGAAAUGCGAUACGUAGUGUGAAUUGCAGAAUUCCGUGAACCAUCGAAUCUUUGAACGCAAAUUGCGCCCAAGGCCUCGGCCAAGGGCAGACCUGCCUCAGCGUCGGCGCACCCCCUCGCUCCCCUUUCAUUCUUUAUUGAGUGCAAGCGGGCAGCGGAGCUGGCUCUCUCGGCGCCCCGGACCUUUGCUGGUCUGGGCGCUCCGGGUUUGCUGAAGCACAGAGGUUUGAGCAGCGACCCCGUUCGCAGGGCGACGGCUUGGUAGGUGGGCUUGCCCGCAUGCAGCCAACUGCCGCCGCCCGAGGGGCUCCUGCUGGAGACCGCGCAGGAAUCUGGGUUUUCUGUGGGGCGAGGCCUUGACCGGCCCCGCUUCCCGCCAGACACUCUAUCAUUCGACCUGAGCCAGAUCAGACUACCCGCUGAACUUAAGCAUAUCAAUAAGCGGAGGAGAAGAAACUAACCAGGAUUCCCCUAGUAACGGCGAGCGAACCGGGAAAAGCCCAACUUGAAAAUCUCCAGCCUUCGGCUGGCGAAUUGUAGUCUAUAGAAGCGCUCUCUGUGUCGGUCCGUGCCCAAGUCCCCUGGAAAGGGGCGUCCGAGAGGGUGAGAACCCCGUGGGGCGCGGCUUCCGAUACCUCACGAGACGCUUUCGCAGAGUCGGGUUGUUUGGGAAUGCAGCCCAAAGCAGGUGGUAAAUCCCAUCUAAGGCUAAAUAUUGACGGGAGACCGAUAGCGAACAAGUACCGUGAGGGAAAGAUGAAAAGAACUUUGAAAAGAGAGUUAAAAAGUGCUUGAAAUUGUUGAGAGGGAAGAGAUUGAACGUUGCGGGUGCGCCCAGGCACACGCCCGCCUCACGGCUGGUUGAAUGCACUGGGCGCUGGUCAGCAUGGGUUGGCGCGGCGGGACAACCCCGGGGGUUGAUACCCCGGCUCUGCCGCCGCGCCGACUGAGGCCUCAAGGGCGCUCUUCGAGUCCUUCGGGAACUGCGUCCUCAGGAUGCUGGCGGAAGACGUUCAAUCUGCCCGUCUUGAAACACGGACCAAGGAGUCUAACGUGUAUGCGAGCUGGUGGGUGGCAAACCCAUGAAGCGUAAGGAACCUGACUGGUGCGAUGGCCUGUGCCUGCAGCAUCGACCUCUCUUGAGCUUCUGCAAAGGAUGAGAGUACGAGUAUACACGCUGGGACCCGAAAGAUGGUGAACUAUGCCUGAGCAGGGCGAAGCCAGAGGAAACUCUGGUGGAGGCUCGUAGAUGUGCUGACGUGCAAAUCGCUUUUCGGACUUGGGUAUAGGGGCGAAAGACUAAUCGAACCAUCUAGUAGCUGGUUCCCUC
rnacentral:misc_RNA from 1 species